AACUAUGUACAUAAACUCGAAACAAAACAUCUACCUACAGUAGGGCACCUCUAGCUCAGCACGUCGGGUAGGGCUCUAACUCGCGACGCCCUUGCCUCGAUCCUGAUCCACGGACGGUGCAGCAGCCGGAACCUGUGGCUCUGCAAAAACAUAGGUAACAACUGGGCGUGAGAACUACUGUAAAAACAAGUAGUCCUCAGUGGGUACCGCCCAAAACAACAUCGGUCACCCACUAAGUCUACAGAAGGGAGCAAGGAUAGAAGGAAAAGCAGGAAGUACACUCUACCGCUAUCAUCCACUACACUAUCAUGCUCUACACUAACCAACUGUAGGAAAUGUCAAAUCUGACCCAAUCCAAAUCGGGACUGUAAGCAUACCCGUCCCCGGGACUGUGAAUACACCCGUCCCUGCCCCGUUGCGACUAUCGGGCUCUAUCCACUCUAACUGGUCCGUGGAGAGCAAGUCCAACUGGCAUGAGCGACACCAACGCGAAAGCACAAGCCUGACUCCGGAGUGGCACUCGUGGGCGCUACCCAACCGAGUAUGCAGCGUAUCUCUGUCGAGCUCAAACAGGCUCUGGAAAGCCAAAGUCAAGAAACCGACUCUAAACUGGUCUAACAACCAACAGGUAACGUGCCCUCGGCACAAUCUGACGCCAAAAAGGCGAUACGGGUCCACCGUCAACUCUGACGGCACCCAACAGUCCGAAAUAACCUGAACGACCCGGUAAAAAUCCACUCGGCGAACCAGCACGAGUGUAAAUAUAUUCUAAACUACCUGGAGUACUCGUCUCGACAAUACUGCGACAGUACACUUUUCUAACGGCUUCUAGAGCUAAAUUAGGCAGUUUAUACAGGUGACAGGUCCAAAUCGCAAGUUUUCUCCUAAUUCAAUUUCCAAGUUCAACAUGUAUAAUCUACUUAAUUUAAAAUAAACAUGCUUCAAAAUUCAGAUUUCACAAUCUACAUAUAGUCCAUGAAUUUGAGCUAAAAUUAAUUACCGAAAUCAAGAUCUAUACAUGUCGACCAAUAAGAACUUAGGAGUAAAGCCGAUGUAACCCACCAAAAAAGCUAAUCCCUGGCAGCGAGGGACUCCUCCUGGUGUAGAGCAACCUGCUGGAUCACCCGGAACCCGCCGAGUACAGAAAUCGCCUAAGCUCGAGCUCUACGCAACAAAAUUCACCAAUUCAGUCCAGAAAUUUCAGCGGUGAGGUACAACAGGGAUUCGACCAAGCUAACCUUCACCAAAUCCAGCAAGUAAGGGCUUCGUGGAUUCCUCUCGAAGUCCUGAAUCCAACAAGCCAAGUCUCGUCGCAAUCCGAUGCUCCUACGUCGAGAACGAGCCAAAAUACCGACAGUCGACGAAGAAAUCUGCAGCAGUGGCACCCGAGCCCGAAAAUGAUGAAAUUGAAGUACUUGGAGGGAUGCCCACAGGUAAAAAUACGACAACCAGUACCUUGAAGCAGCACGACGUCAAAGAUGGCGAAAAAAACAACUCGCCCGACCUCCUCGCAGCAACACGACGACGGAAGUAUGCUCGAACGGCUCCGCGGCGCGACGUCGGCGACGAAUCCGAGCUCCCUCUUGCCUUCAACCGGAUGAGGGAGUUAGAGAGAUGGAUAAAAGCAGCUAGAAGACCUCUCUCACUCUCUCCACACGAAGCUAUAUAGAGGGGAGUGAGGGGUGAUACAAGCGAGGGAGAGAAAAUUACUCAUUUAGCCCUCUACCUACCCUCUUGUACCGGUACACGGGCUCCUGUACCGGUACAAGAGCCAACCUGAGAGCAGCUAAGUUCGGUGCGCGCAUCCUGUACCGGUACAGCAACCCCUUGUACCGGUACAACAAGCAGUCCUGCGAUGGUUGUACCGGUACAGCCUGCCCUUGUACCGGUACAGCGAGCAGAAAAUCCUGCUGUUUCGCAGAUUCUCUCGCAGAAUGCUGCCCUCGCAUUGCACGGAGUCCGUUUUGCGCCUAUUUGACGCCAACGCGACUCGGACCUGUCCCGACAAUCUUCAGAGCUGUCGACAAGCCUCCAGUCAAACACCAGAGAUCUCACAUCCUCCCCCUCUAUAAAAAGUUUCGUCCGCAAAACUGAACAUACCUCUACUCAAGCAUCAAACAAGUAGGGAUAGGCUUUCCUCAUCACCGUCUCAGACUCCCAAGUCGCCUCCCGCUCAUCAUGAUUACUCCACUGCACUUUCACAUACGGAAUGACCCGGUUGCGCAAUUCUCUCGUCUCACGAGCAAGAAUCCGCAACGGCCGCUCCUCGUAUCUCAGAUCCUCGCCAAUCUCAAGUGGAGUGAAGUCAAUCACAUGAGAGGGAUCGAAAACGUAUCUCCUCAAUGCUGAGACGUGGAAAACAUCAUGGAUGCCAGCAGGUCGCGGGGGUAGAGCUAUCCUGUAAGCCACCGGUCCGAUACGCUCCAAUACCUCGAAAGGACCAACAAAUCGUGGACUAAGCUUCCCACGUACUCCAAAUCGGCGUAUCCCUCUGGACGGCGAGAUUUUGAGAAAAACAUGAUCCCCAACCUGAAACUCCAAGUCUCGUCUCCGAGUAUCAGCGUAGCUCCUCUGUCGGCUCUGAGCUGUCAAAAGGUGUCGUCGAACGACUCUCACCUUUUCCUCAGCCUCAAGUAGAAUCUCUGGUCCAAGUGUCCUCCGCUCACCCACAUCACUCCAAAACAGGGGGGAUCGACAUCUGCGUCCAUACAACGCCUCAAACGGAGCCAUCUGAAUGCUCGUUUGAUAGCUGUUGUUGUACGCAAACUCAACCAGUCUCACAUGUCGAUACCACCCUCCUCCAAAAUCCAGGACGCAUGCCCUCAGCAUGUCCUCUAGAGUCUGUAUGGUCCGCUCUGACUGACCAUCUGUCUGUGGGUGGAACGCCGUGCUAAAAUGCAGCUGUGUACCCAAGGCUGUCUGCAAACUCCUCCAAAACUGGGAUACAAACCUCGGGUCUCUGUCUGAUACAAUCGACACUGGCACGCCGUGCAGCCUAACGAUCUCAUCCAAGUAUAGCUGCGCAAGUCUCUCCCUGGACCAGGUAGUCUGAACCGGUAGGAAGUGAGCAGACUUGGUCAGUCUGUCCACUAUCACCCAAAUCGCGUCGUAGCCACCCUGCGCUCUAGGCAAUCCAACGACGAAGUCCAUCGUGAUGUGCUCCCACUUCCACUCGGGAACUGGCAGACUCUGAAGCUUGCCAGCAGGCACCUGAUGCUCGGCCUUCACCUGUUGGCAAGUCAAACACUGAGCCACAUAUCUGCCAAUGUCCCGCUUCAUUCCAGGCCACCAGAAUCGUGCCUUAAGAUCCUUAUACAUCUUGGUUCCCCCAGGAUGAACCGUAUAAGGGGAACAAUGAGCCUCUCUCAGAAUAUCCGCUCGAAUCUCCGGAUCCACAGGCACACACAGUCGGUCCCUGUACCGUAGUACUCCCGAACUGUCCAAAGCAAAUCCCUCAGCCUGCCCCCUGUCUAGCUGCUCUCUAAUCCUCAACAAGUACGGAUCUCCACUCUGUUUCUCUCGGAUCCUAUCCAACAGAGUGGGCUGUAAAACUAGAGACGUCAGCCUCGCCGUAGACCCAGGGGGUACUAUCUCGAGUCCCAGCCGCUGUAGCUCCUCGAGUAGGGGUCUCUGCUCAGUAAUCCUCAAACUCAGGCUCUGCACUGACUUCCUGCUCAACGCAUCUGCCACCACAUUCGCCCUGCCGGGAUGAUACUGAAUACUAAUGUCAUAGUCCUUCAGUAACUCCAACCACCGGCGCUGCCUCAGAUUCAGCUCCCUCUGUGUGAACAGAUACUUGAGACUUUGAUGAUCGGUGAAUACCUCGCAGUGCUCGCCGUACAAGUAAUGCCGCCAGAGCUUCAAAGCAAAAACCACCGCGGCAAGCUCCAAAUCAUGCGUAGGGUAAUUCUUCUCAUAAUCCUUUAACUGCCGUGAAGCAUAAGCAAUCACCCUACCAUGCUGCAUCAGCACGCAACCAAGUCCACUGUGCGAUGCAUCACUGUAGAUCACGAAUCCAUCCCCCAUCACCGGAAGGGCAAGGAUAGGAGCCGACGUCAACCUCAGUCUCAACUCGUCAAAGCUCCUCUGACAGUCGUCGCUCCAGACAAAACGAAUCCCCUUCCGCGUCAAGCGUGUGAGGGGUGUGGAAAGCUUCGCAAAGCCUUCCACAAACCGACGGUAAUAUCCUGCCAGUCCCAGGAAGCUCCGUACCUCAGUCACCGUCGUCGGUCUAGGCCAAUCUCGAAUCGCCUCAAUCUUCUUCGGGUCCACUGCUACGCCCUCAGCUGAAAUCACGUGGCCCAAGAAAGCAACCUCCCGUAGCCAGAACUCGCACUUCUUUAACUUGGCAUACAACUUCUUCUCGCGCAGAAGCUGUAGCACAAUCCUCAAGUGCUCCUCAUGCUCAGCAUCACUCCGGGAGUAAAUCAGGAUAUCGUCGAUGAAGACUACCACAAACCUAUCCAAGAACGGCUUGAACACUCUGUUCAUCAAAUCCAUGAAUGCGGCAGGGGCAUUCGUCAAUCCAAAAGGCAUCACCGUGAACUCAUAAUGCCCGUACCGAGUCCGAAAAGCCGUCUUGGGAACAUCCUCGGCCCUCACCCUCAGCUGGUGGUAACCUGACUGGAGAUCAAUCUUCGAGAAGACAUAAGAUCCCUGCAGCUGAUCAAACAAAUCAUCAAUGCGCGGCAAGGGAUACUUAUUCUUGAUGGUCACUUUAUUCAGCUCCCGGUAAUCCACACAUAACCUGAGCGAACCAUCCUUCUUCUUUACAAAUAACACCGGCGCUCCCCAAGGCGACACACUGGGUCUCACAAACCCUCUAUCCAUCAGAUCCUGAAGUUGCGCCUUUAGCUCUCUCAGCUCUGCCGGUGCCAUCCUGUAAGGUACCUUUGAGAUUGGUGCAGUUCCAGGAACUACAUCAAUCACAAACUCAAUCUCCCUCUCCGGCGGCAACGUCGUCAACUCAGGGGGAAACACAUCCGGAAACUCGCGGACUACUGGGAUGUCCUCGAGUCCCGGCGCCGCCGUAGGUACCUCCACAACUGUCGCUAGGAAAGCGAUACACCCACUGCUCAGCAUCUGUCGAGCCCUCGCCGAAGAUAUCCAGGUGGCAAACAGCGUGCUCCUGCAGCCUCUGAAAGUAAACUCCUCCUGGCCUGGCUCGCGGAACGUCACCGUCCUCGCUCCACAGUCGAUCGUAGCAUAGUACCGCGCCAGCCAAUCCAUACCGAGCACUACGUCGAAGUCCUGCAGCUGCCCUAACACCAACAGGUCUGCGGGCAUGAUCCAAGAGUCUAACUGCACCGGACAGGACCAACAACACUCUGUAACCUGCAAGACAUGGUCGGGGAUCUGCACCUCUCGUGCCUGAGACAACGCUCCUAACUCUAGACCAUGCAACAAUGCAAAUGCUCGGCUAACAAAGGAAUGCGAUGCACCGGUAUCAAAAAGAGUGCGAACUCUAAUGCCAGAAAUCAAAGUGAUACCUGCCACCACUCGGUCGGCUGCUGAAGAGUCCUCCACCUGAGCUGCAUAGACCCUGCCACUCGGAGCCUGCUGUCGCCGCUCA
rnacentral:lncRNA from 1 species